UCCCCCACAAUUCAUGGCGCACAAAUCUCCCCCUGUGAGAUGCGUGCAAGAAAUUGUAUUUCUACCAUCCCCCAGCCCCCUUUCUAUUCUCUCUCCCCUCCGUGGCACCCCCAACACGUAUUCCCCGAGAAUAAAUUACAUCAGAGGGGUGGAGGAGGGGUGAGAAUGCCACGAGAGGGAGAGUCCAAGGCUUACGUGCACUUAGUCUCGUUUUUUUUUUUUUAUUUGACUUUCUUUUGCUUUUCAGGAUGAUUUAUUCUGCUCUCCAAGGGAUACCCAGGAAUUUCAUCACAAUUUCACAAGCCAUUGGAGUGCUCUGGUGUAUGCAACAAAACUGGGGCUGCGGAAACUAUUCAAAUUCCUCGAUGCGGAGUUAACUCAUUACAUCUCGGGGAUUGGUAACUCGAGAAACUGGAACGAAGAGGAUUCUCCCUGGGUUUGUGUCCUCAAGUGAUUCAUGAAAAUGUUUUCUUUAGAUUUCAGGUGAGAACGGAGGGAGAAUCCGGCUGACGGCUGCAGAGGAAUCGAGACAGAGGUGAAAGACCCGAAAUUAUCGUGAAUUUCAACAAUCAAUAAUCACUAAACAAUAGAUGAAAAUGUCUGAGUAAAAGUGUUGAUGAGAAUGAAAAAAAUAAUAUGUCGAGUAUUCAAUGUAAAUUACAUAACUUUUUAUUUAAUUUUUGUAUGUAUAUAGAUAAUUCAGUGUAUUGGUGUAGAUGUAUCAUGUAUUUUGUCAAUAGUUUUCUUUCUACUAAAAUAGUACUUGGUAAGACUUUCGUAAAAAUACUUAUGCUAGAUCAUAGUCAUGUAUGUUUUCUUACGAAUUUUUUUAAUCGACGAGUGAGUACAUAAAUUUUCACUAGUUACCUAUCAUCGCCGUGGAUUGCAAUGUUUCAAUUCAAGUCUUUUGGAUCAAGCAUUCAAUCGUACUUUAUUUAAAAUAUAUCAGGAAAAUCCAAAGUUAUUGAAUUCAGGCGAAUGUUGAGAUGCGAGACGGAGACGCAACUGUAGAAGUAAAAAUUCAACAAAUUAAAAUGGAUAAAUGGAUAAAAAAAAAAAUGGAAAUUAUAGGGAGAGGAAAAAAAGUGUAAAUAAAAAAACAAAAGUGCACUCAUUUGAAUCAUAUUAUAUAUUAAAAUAUUCAUAAUAAUAUAAUACUAAUAAUAAUAUAUUAUCGUGUUCGUAAAAUUACAUAAAAAAAUAUAGAAAAUAAUAAACUUGUAGCUAUUUCUUCGUAUUAAUUAUUCUUUUUCUUUUUAGCUUUUCUCAUUUUUUUUUGUCUCUUUCAUGCACUCGAAAAUAAUUUGUUUUUCUCUCACUCGUUCGUGGCAUUUGUAAUUUCUUUCCCUUUUUUUAUGCGUACUUUGAUAGUAGUAAUUAAUAAUUGUAUUUAAAUCGCGUGCCCUAGCAUAUAUCAUUAUUUGUCUUUGCUGCGGGUAAUUUAUAUUUGCAUUUACACUAUGUUUUUUUUUUCACUGUCUACUCAUUUUAUUUUGUAACAUUUAAUCUUUUACUCAAUUUUUUUUUCUUUCACGAGAGCAGAAAAGUCUUUUUUUCUCAAUGACUGUCGAAUAAUGCCCAAAAAUAAAUACUCAAGAUUCUCUCCUUUAUAUAUUCAUUUCUCUUAUGAUUUUUUUUCCAUUUAUUUUUUAUUAUACGGGAAGAUAAUCUGUUGUAAAUGCAAAAAACACGUGUAUCAGUCAAUUGCGUCUGGCAGAUUUUGAAAUGAAAUAUAUAUAUCUAUUUAAUAAAAUUUAAAUAAAGAAAAAUAAUAUCUCUCAACUUAAGAAGGCAAGAUGCCCGCAGAAAAGAGAAAAUAAUAAUGAAAACCAGGAGAAAAAAAGAAGUAAUAAACAAA